ACUCGGCCCCUUGCGUCCUAGACGGUGUGACCUAUGCUAGUGGCGAUCUCACUCCAGACCCAUGCAACCGCUGCAGAUGUCGCAAUGGUCAAGAAGUCUGCAACAGAAGGGGAUGUCCUCAAGAAUAUCAACGCUCUUAAUUCCAGUAAAAGAAGGAACUGGCCAGAUUGAGCAGUGUAAUCUAGUGUUUGUAUUACUUCCACAGUGUUCUUAAAUUUUUUCCGCAAAUAGAUGAAACAAAAAUGCUUAAUAAAGAAAUAAACUUAUAAAUGAGAUACAACAUCUGA
rnacentral:sRNA from 1 species